rnacentral:lncRNA from 1 species
AGCUAAACCAUUGCCACUUUUAUCCCUUUUGUGCCGCGAGCUCUUACCUACGCUCUUGUUGGCUGGAGGCUUUCGGGCAGGGAAACGGGUAAACGGACGCGCGCAGGCAAGGCAGGCGCGGUGGACAGGGGGCUGGGCCGGGCAGGGGCUGUGCCGACCCUGCUUCUGGGUGGGAGCGGCCUGUCUUCUCUCCGAGGGUCUGAGAGCACCCGCACCCACCUUCCUCCCCUAGGGCAUUACGGCGUAGGGGAAGGGCGUCCGGAAUGGGAGCGCGAGAUCCACCGCCUGCAGGUACACAGUUGGCCUGGCCCAGUGCUGCGCGUCCGAACUGCACCCAAGGGGCAACACCCACACCUGCCAAGCCCGCAACACCUGUGGCAGCACCUUGCGCUAGGAGCUUCAGAAAAAGCGCAACAGGAAAGGUUCCCAACCCCCCAGCAACGUCGCCGAGAACCUACUGCACGAGGCCACUCCAUAGCCCAUGUUUCCUGUACUGGGGGGUCUGGCAGCACUGCCUAGGGUCUGUUUAAGCUCUUGGCCUUCACAGAGAGCCAGGCACCCUGAAUGCAGAUCGUUCUACCCAGGGGACCAGAUGGUGCCAGGGGAGGAAAGGCUGUCACAGGGCCUUGCAGUCAGGUGGACAAAUAGCAGCUGUGGACACAAACAUCUUCUGGUGCAUACAGACAAGUCCAGAGCUGACCACCUGCCUGCGGCCGGGCGAAUUUCCCUGAACAAGUCUCAGCAUCAGAACUUGAUGAGCUCCAAGCCUCCUGUUUGUUUAUAAAAUAAAGCUCCUCUUACUCAUUUUGCCUUUGGGUGGAAGCAGAAAACAUUCAUUAAAAUAAAG